GACGAACGCUGGCGGCGUGCUUAACACAUGCAAGUCGAACGAUGAAGCCCAGCUUGCUGGGUGGAUUAGUAGCGAACGGGUGAGUAACACGUGGGCAACCUGCCCCAAACUCUGGGAUAACUCCUCGAAAGAGGUGCUAAUACCGGAUACGAACUAGACAGACAUCUGUACUAGUUGGAAAGUUUUUCGGUUUGGGAUGGGCCCGCGGCCUAUCAGAUUGUUGGUGAGGUAACGGCUCACCAAGGCUACGACGGGUAACCGGCCGGAGAGGGCGACCGAUCACACUGGGACUGAGACACGGCCCAGGCUCCUACGGGAGGCAGCAGUGGGAAAUAUUUCGCAAGGGGAGAAAGCCUGACGCAGCGACGCCGUGUGAGGGAUGAAGGUCUUCGGAUCGUAAACCUCUUUCAGUAGGGACGAAGCGAAAGUGACGGUACCUAAAGAAGAAGCACCGGCUAACUACGUGCCAGCAGCCGCCGUAA
rnacentral:rRNA from 1 species